rnacentral:rRNA from 1 species
GGGCGCAAGCCUGAUGCAGCGACGCCGCGUGAGGGAUGACGGCCUUCGGGUUGUAAACCUCUUUCAGUAGGGAAGAAGCGAAAGUGACGGUACCUGCAGAAGAAGCGCCGGCUAACUACGUGCCAGCAGCCGCGGUAAUACGUAGGGCGCAAGCGUUAUCCGGAAUUAUUGGGCGUAAAGAGCUCGUAGGCGGUUUGUCGCGUCUGCCGUGAAAGUCCGGGGCUCAACUCCGGAUCUGCGGUGGGUACGGGCAGACUAGAGUGAUGUAGGGGAGACUGGAAUUCCUGGUGUAGCGGUGAAAUGCGCAGAUAUCAGGAGGAACACCGAUGGCGAAGGCAGGUCUCUGGGCAUUAACUGACGCUGAGGAGCGAAAGCAUGGGGAGCGAACAGGAUUAGAUACCCUGGUAGUCCAUGCCGUAAACGUUGGGCACUAGGUGUGGGGGACAUUCCACGUUUUCCGCGCCGUAGCUAACGCAUUAAGUGCCCCGCCUGG